CCUACGGGGGGCUGCAGUAAGGAAUAUUGGUCAAUGGACGCAAGUCUGAACCAGCCAUGCCGCGUGAAGGAUGAAGGUCCUCUGGAUUGUAAACUUCUUUUAUAGGGGGCGAAAAAAGGGAAUUCUUUCUCACUUGACAGUACCCUAUGAAUAAGCACCGGCUAACUCCGUGCCAGCAGCCGCGGUAAUACGGAGGGUGCAAGCGUUAUCCGGAUUCACUGGGUUUAAAGGGUGCGUAGGCGGAUAGGUAAGUCAGGGGUGAAAUCCUGGAGCUUAACUCCAGAACUGCCUUUGAUACUAUCUAUCUUGAAUAUGGUGGAGGUAAGCGGAAUAUGUCAUGUAGCGGUGAAAUGCAUAGAUAUGACAUAGAACACCUAUUGCGAAGGCAGCUUACUACGCCUAUAUUGACGCUGAGGCACGAAAGCGUGGGGAUCAAACAGGAUUAGAUACCCUGGUAGUC
rnacentral:rRNA from 1 species